rnacentral:rRNA from 1 species
GAUUAGGUAGUUGGUGGGGUAACGGCCUACCAAGCCGACGAUCAGUAGCCGGACUGAGAGGUUGAUCGGCCACAUUGGGACUGAGACACGGCCCAGACUCCUACGGGAGGCAGCAGUGGGGAAUAUUGCACAAUGGGCGCAAGCCUGAUGCAGCAACGCCGCGUGAAGGAAGACGGUUUUCGGAUUGUAAACUUCGUUCUUAGGAAGAAAUGACGGUAGCUAAGGAGCAAGCACGGCUAACUACGUGCCAGCAGCCGCGGUAAUACGUAGGUGCAAGCGUUGUCCGGAAUUACUGGGUGUAAAGGGAGCGCAGGCGGGUGAUCAAGUCAGCUGUGAAAACUACGGGCUUAACCCGUAGCUGCAGUUGAAACUGUUCAUCUUGAGUGAAGUAGAGGUUGGCGGAAUUCCGAGUGUAACGGUGAAAUGCGUAGAUAUUCGGAGGAACACCGGUGGCGAAGGCGGCCAACUGGGCUUUAACUGACGCUGAGGCUCGAAAGUGUGGGGAG